ACCCGCUGAAUUUAAGCAUAUAAGUAAGUGGUGGAAAUUAAACCAACUGGGAUCUCUUCAGUAAUUGCGCAUGAACCAGGAUAUGCUUAGCUUGACAAAUGGAGCUGCUGGCUCUGAAUUGUAUUGUGGGAAUGUAUUACCAACAGAGGUGCAGGUGUCAGCCAUUUGAAAGAAAGCAUCAAUGAGGGUGAGAGUCCUGUUUGUCAUGUGCAGCCUUCUGUGCACGGUGUAUAUUUGCUGAGUCACACUCCUCGGCAUUGGAAUGCAAAGUGGGUGGUAAGUUUCAUGCAAAGGUAAAUAUGCAAUUGAGACUGAUAGCGCACAASUACCAUGAGGGACAUAUGAAAAGGACUUUGAACAGAGAAUUAAAUGAGUUUGUAUUUGCUAAACACAAAGUAAACAGACUUGAUUUCCUCAGUGAGAUUGUAGUGCUUGCUUGACAAUGGGUUUUGGCUGCAAGUGCAAUAAUUCUUGCUUUGUGUGCCAGUUUUUAUGUGGACAUUUGAUUACCUUUGCACAUGAAUGGUAAUUUUCCUGCGGGGUGUGGAUUGCAUAUGCAUGUAAUGAUUUGCAUGUUUGUUAAAUGUGUCUGGUGUAUUUGUUUGUGUCCUUGUCCUUGAGGUUGCUUUCUCCCUUGGGCUUACAUGCCCUGGCACACACAUUCUGGCAAAAUGCUUCUGCUUGACCCGUCUUGAAACACGGACCAAGG
rnacentral:rRNA from 1 species